rnacentral:rRNA from 1 species
CCUACGGGUGGCAGCAGUAGGGAAUAUUGCUCAAUGGGGGAAACCCUGAAGCAGCAACGCCGCGUGGAGGAUGAAGGCCUUCGGAUUGUAAACCCCUUUUGUUAGAGAAGAUAAAGACGGUACCUAACGAAUAAUCACCGGCCAACUCCGUUCCAGCAGCCGCGGUACUACGGAGGGUGCAAGCGUUAUCCGGAAUCACUGGGCGUAAAGGGCGCGUAGGCGGGAUAGCAAGUCAGGUGUGAAAUCCUAGGGCUUAACCAUAGAACUGCAUUUGAAACUGGUAUUCUAGAGUGGGGGAGAGGUAGGUGGAAUGCUUGGUGUAGCGGUGAAAUGCGUAGAGAUCGAGAGGAAGACUGAUUGCGAAGGCGACAUGCUGGACCAUAACUGACGCUGAGGCACGAAAGCGUGGGGAGCGAACAGGAUUAGAUACCCGAGUAGUC